GGGUCCUUAGCUCAGUCGCUUAAUUUAUAAAGCUAGGGCAGUUGGCUUUUAACCAAUCAGUCGAAUGGUUUAAAUCCUUCACGAUUCCCCA
rnacentral:tRNA from 1 species